AUUAUUUCAGUUACUCAUAUGGUUUUAUUUAUGUAAGUGUGUGCUGGACCAUGAUACACACUGUCCUUCUUGCUAUGGGAUGCUCUGAAAGCCACUGCUCUUAAACCACAGUAAACUGAGCAACAGAAGGGUCCAUGUGCCAGAUGGAGAGGCCCACACAAGAUCACCCACCGUUUCUGCCCUGCACACGCACAGCGAUGACUCUUCAAGGCCAGGCUGGAAUCCCUCUCUGACAGCCUCCCACUUUGUUGCCUUGUCUUUUCAGAUUGACAGCCAGGCAGCAUCUGUGUUAAAAAGAACUUCCCCCAUUUCUUAGAACUGCGUGCGAGGCUGAGAAUUCUGGAGGUGGCUUCCAAGAUAUUUACAGCUCUGCCAUCAGUUUAGAAGUUGUUGUUCCAUCUUUCAAAUCUUUCUUCUGCCUGCUCAACCUAGAGCAACCCUCUUCAGCAAGAAUGUGGGGAUCUUGUGGCCUCUGCCUGUUCCGUCGUUCCCAGUCUAGCAGAGCAAUGUCAGCAUGAACCUGUAGACACGAGUGAGUCUCGUUCUGUAAUCUCCAGAAAAGAUUUAAAGAAAUCUUUUCUCUUAAGCCAUCGACAGUUUGGUAGGACACACCUUUGUGAAGAAAAAUGAAACAUUUAUCUUUUCUCUGUACCUGAUCCCUCCAGAAUUUGGAAACACUCAAAUAAUAAUUGUUCAGUGACUUGAGAUGAUCGACCAAUCUUCAAACUCCGAAGGACUUGAUACUUUUCCAGAUAGAGACUGUGCCUAAGACUCAUUUCCUGACCUCCUCCUCAUUGCUCAGAUGCCGCCAGAGCCUCUGACUACGUUACUCUUACUGAUGAUUGAGCACGUUGCUCCCCUCAACAAAGGACAUGACUUCCAAGAAAAGAGCAUUCCUAGCAAUGAGGGAAAUAUCAAUACAUCAAACACUUGAUCCAAGAUGCUUUCUGCUGCAAGGUCUUGAUCAGAAGAGGAAAUGUGGACAGUGAUAACAAAAUGGAGUAACAUCUGUCAAGGCUUCUAAAAUGGAGCUGGGUGGCCAUUAAGGAAAUGGGACUCAUGGAGGCACACCACUCUCUACCCAGAUGGAAUGUUAACUUUUUUUUUUUUUUUUGAGGACAAUUAGCCCUGAGCUAACAUCUGCUGCCAAUCCUCCUCUUUUUGCUGAGGAAGAUUGGCCCUGAGCUAACAUCUGUGCCCAUCCUCCUCCUCUUUAUAUGUGGGAUGCCUACCACAGCAUGACUUGCCAAGCAGUGCCAUAUCCACACCCAGGAUCCGAACCGGCGAACCCAGGGCCACUGAAGUGAAAUGUGCGAACUUAACAGCUACACCACUGGGCUGGCUCCUUGGAAUGUUAACUUUUGAGCUGUGCUUCUCUGUAGUCAUCUUGACCUUCUUUCAAGAAAUAUGCUUACUCUCAAAGAUAAGAACUUCCUGCCUUAGAGACAGCCUUAGCAACUGAUCACAUAUAGCCAAGAAGUAACAGUUGUUGCCAGCACCAAUCACAAAUUUUGCAAAACGACCUGUGUAAUUUUUCUCUUUUUGUCUCUAUAAACCCUUACCUCCUUGUUUUCCUCAGAACACAUUUUGGGUUUCUGCCUGGAUCUGUGUCUCCCGAGUUGCAUUUCUAAUUGUCCAAAGAAAU
rnacentral:lncRNA from 1 species